UUUGAUGGAGCAGUCGCCUGGCAAGUAAAUUGACAUAAGCGGCUGACAGUCAAGGAGGUCCAUGACUCUAGGGGCAGUGUCUUACACACAAUUUUCCAAAAGCCUUAGAUCACACAAAGAGAGAACCUUGGCUUACUAAGCAGUCAUUAUUAACUCCAUGCUUCAUCACGAUGGUCCAAAACCAUGAACCCAUGCCUAAAAACCUGUGAAAAUCUUCUCACCCAUUCAUUCGUAAAUAAACA
rnacentral:lncRNA from 1 species